rnacentral:lncRNA from 1 species
GCAAGACCUCUGAUCCUAUUAAAUGACACAUGGAGAAGCUUUGACAAAGACAGGGAGUUUUUGCUAAUCCUACAGCUGUGUGAGGGAGGCUCGAAAGGGUUAAAGUGGAAGGCUUAUACAAACUUUGCCUCUCAGCUUCUCUCUUAUCUCCUCCCUCUCCGCGGCACACAGGCACACACUGCGAAGGCAGAGCAAAGCUGAUUCACUACCUUUCCUGCAUACUCUAAACUGUUGCCUGCAGAAAGAGGACCUGGGGACUUAAGUGCUCAGACUGCUUGCAUUCAAGUGUUCCAGACGAUAUGCCAGAGGUGUUCCCGAACAAGUUGCCUGUCGGUGCAAGCUUCAAAAGAGAUACUUAAAUGGCCAACCCCAUUCAUCCCGUAAACCAGGAAAGUAUGCAAAUCUGUGUGGUUGAGGUCUGCAGUAGACUAAAAAGAUACUCCAACGUUAAAGAGGCAUCUCCC